GAGAUAGCUCAGCUGGUAGAGCAUGAGACUCUCAGGGUUGAGGGUUCGAGCCCCAUGUUGGGCA